CUUCACCGAGCCGAGACGGAGCGGGCGUUCCGCAGGACGGUCCUGCCCGUACGUUGCCAACAGGGCCUGCGCCUC
rnacentral:antisense_RNA from 1 species